UCUUAAAUCAUGAUUAAAAGAGGAAUCAGUUAAAAUGGUCCCUAGUUAUAUGGGUGUGGCUGUGGUAAAUCAUUACUUUUACCCUCAAGAACAAAACCCUAUAUAUGUCAAAGACCUAGGGAAAAGUAAGAGUUUUAUUACCUAUCAAAAAUCAGUAUUUAGGAGAGAUUCAACUGUAUUUAUAUUCAUCAUCAUAGUAUUUUGAAGUACUCACUUCAGCAUGAAACAUAGGAAAUUCCAAUUUUACAGCAUUUGCGAUCGUGCGUUUUCUUGCUUAAGACAAUAUAACCUGCAGAGUGUAAUACCUUGACAUCACUGGGUCUUCCAAACAAGUUGCCGUAAAACAUAAACUAUGAUUAUUGAGUCUUAAAGAAAUUAUUUGCUCAUGGGUACUCAAGUGAUUUGAAAGUUGGGAUCUAAGACCACGUUAAUGAACAGAAUUUGCUACUUUGUAUCAACUUGGAAAUAUAUUUCUUAUUUAAUUUUGUAGAACAAAUAUACUUCCUGGGAUAAGUGGAGGAUAUAUUAAGUACCCUCUGAUGAAUUUUUUCAGUGUCUAGUUAACUUAACGUUUAAAUUUUCAAUUUGAAGAAAUAAACUGGGAACAGUAAUGGGACAACAGGGUGCUAACCCAAUAAAAAAAGUCACUUUCAGUUUGUUAGUGCAUAUUUAUGUUGCAAUGUAAGUUUCAUAAUUAAGUAGUGAAUCUAAGUUAAAAUUCUGUUUACAGUUUUUGCAAAUUUCACCUUGGAGAAUUGUUGAGUGAAUUGUUUGCUUCAUUUGAGGAUGUAGAAUAAAUUAUAUUUUCCAUAAAAUGUCACCAACAGUGCUUAUUUCCAAACAAAAAAUAAUUAUGUAUGUGGCUAGGUCUACUCACUUUGUAAUACCUCUUUUGGGGCUCUUCUGUCAGAACUGAGGACACUUACAGUAUCUAGAGCCUUUUCUAGGGAAUAUAACAAAAGCUUUUCUCCCUCUUCUAGCCCCCACAAAUUUUACAUCUUGCUGC
rnacentral:lncRNA from 1 species